rnacentral:rRNA from 1 species
ACAUGCCUACAUCAUAGUGUUCGUGCACCGAAUCCCAUUAGAAAUUCGCAGUUAAGCAUGCUCAUGAUAGAGUAGUACUGGGACAGGUGAUCGCUCAGGAAGUCCUAGUGUUUAACAUGCC